CGGAGGGGGCUAGCGUUGUUCGGAAUUACUGGGCGUAAAGCGCACGUAGGCGGCUUUGUAAGUCAGGGGUGAAAGCCUGGAGCUCAACUCCAGAACUGCCUUUGAGACUGCAUCGCUUGAAUCCGGGAGAGGUAAGUGGAAUUCCGAGUGUAGAGGUGAAAUUCGUAGAUAUUCGGAAGAACACCAGUGGCGAAGGCGGCUUACUGGACCGGAAUUGACGCUGAGGUGCGAAAGCGUGGGGAGCAAACAGGAUU
rnacentral:rRNA from 1 species